GAUGAAGAACGCAGCGAAAUGCGAUAAGUAGUGUGAAUUGCAGAAUUCAGUGAAUCAUCGAAUCUUUGAACGCACAUUGCGCCCCUUGGUAAUCCAUGGGGCAUGCCUGUUCGAGCGUCAUUUGUACCUUCAAGCUCUGCUUGGUGUUGGGUGUUUGUCUCGCCUCUGCGUGUAGACUCGCCUCAAAACAAUUGGCAGCCGGCGUAUUGAUUUCGGAGCGCAGUACAUCUCGCGCUUUGCACUCAUAACGACGACGUCCAAAAGUACAUUUUUACACUCUUGACCUCGGAUCAGGUAGGGAUACCCGCUGAACUUAAGCAUAUCAUAAGCGGAGGA
rnacentral:misc_RNA from 1 species